GACGAAGGAUGCAAGCGUUAUCCGGAUUCAUUGGGUUUAAAGGGAGCGUAGGCGGAUUGGUAAGUCAGUGGUGAAAUCUUUGGGCUUAACCCAGAAACUGCCAUUGAUACUGCUGAUCUAGAGUACAGUUGCCGUUGGCGGAAUAUGACAUGUAGUGGUGAAAUACUUAGAUAUCUGGAGGAACACCGGUGGCGAAGGCGGCUACCUGGCCCAACAUUGACACUGAGACCCGAAAGCGUGGGGAUCAAACAGG
rnacentral:rRNA from 1 species